AUUUAAAUAGUUUAAUUAUUAAAACUUUGAUUUGUGGGGUCAAAAAUGUAGAAAUUACUUUAAAUA
rnacentral:tRNA from 1 species